rnacentral:rRNA from 1 species
UACGAAGGGGGCUCGCGUUGCUCGGAAUGACUGGGCGUAAAGGGGUAGUAGGCGGCCAACUAAGUCCGACGUGAAAUCCCAAGGCUUAACCUUGGAACUGCGUCGGAUACUGGAUGGCUUGAAUUCGGGAGAGGGAUGCAGAAUUCCAGGUGUAGCGGUGAAAUGCGUAGAUAUCAGGAGGAACACCGGUGGCGAAGGCGCACAUCUGGCCCAAUACUGACGCUGAGGCGCGAAAGCUAGGGGAGCAAACGGG